GGGGAUAUGGCGAAACUGGUAGACGCAACGGACUCAAAAAAUCCGUUGAUUUUUCAAAAUCGUGAGGGUUCAAGUCCCUCUAUCCCCA
rnacentral:tRNA from 1 species